rnacentral:lncRNA from 1 species
AGACGGCAGCCGACUCUCCCGAGACACAGGGCCGAGAAGAACCGUCGGCAAACGCACCAGACGGGCGGAAAAAAAGAGCAGGAUGAAGGGAGGAAGAUAUAGCCAGCCAGAGAAGGGAGAAGAGGAGAAACAUCUGGAAAAUAUCAGUGUUGCAGAGCCUCCCGGAAACUGACCUCGCCACCGAAAGGGUGAAUGGGGUCAAAAUGGAAACAGCAUGAGAGGGGCCACAGAAGGGAUUCACCAGGAAGAAGAGGAAAGGUGGGGCUGAGGUGGCCAGGACAGCACGACAUCACAUCUGACCAAGGCAUCCUCAGCCUUCCUUCAGAAAAGCAGCAGAAGGAAAAAGGUAUCAAAAAUCACAGUGUGGAACUCAGGCUUGAAAGAAACCUUAGAUGUUGUCUAUUCUUUUUUUUUUUUUUUUUUUUUUUUUUUGAGAUGGAGUUUUGCUUUGGUUGCCUAGUCUAGAGUGCAGUGGUGCAAUCUCAGCUCACUGCAACGUCUGCCUCCCAGGUUCAAGCAAUUCUCCUGCCUCAAUCUCCCGAGUAGCUGAGAUUACAGGCAUGUGCCACCCUGCCUGGCUAAUUUUGUAUUUUUAGUAGAGACAAGGUUUCACCAUGUUGGCCAGGCUGGUCUUGAACUCCUGACCUCAGGUGAUCCACCCACCUCAGCCUCCCAAAGUGCUGGGAUUACAAGCGUGAGACUCCGUGCCCAGCCAGAGAUUGUUUAAUCCUCUACCUGGCUGGUGAAGCAAUCUCCUAUCACAUCACCGGCAACAGACAUUCAUCCAGAAUUGCCUUGACAAACUUUAUUACCAGAGACAGCCUCCUUGAAAAAACAACUCCAUUUCCAUCCUAACCGUUAGAAAGUUCCUGUGUAUACUAAACUAAAAUUCAAGUCUAAGGGCAGUAAUUGUCAAAUUAUUUCCACUCUAACCACUGCCUUUACUCCUUAUGGCAAGGAAAUAAUUUUGUGAUGAGAUAAACAUAGGUUUUAAACUAAAUUUUAUUUUCAACAACCUAGUGGAGACCCCUCACAUUGCCUGGCUGAUGUAGCUGAAUUCAGUGUGAGACAGUUAUGCAACUUUCCAGUGCUUACCACACAUCUGCUAUUGAUUAUCGUGAGCAUUCAGAAGCAAGCAGCUCUGCUCAAGACACCCAGUGAUAAUCUUUCUCCUCAGUGUGCUCACUCCAAGGGGGCAGAAAACAAUGCCAAGACAGGUUGAGUAAGGGGCCCUACUUGACUGUAUUUGAGCAGUUAAGAGCUUUAUUCAAGUUUCUGAACAAAAUUUGAAAUGUGAAAUGCACAAAGAAGACAAAUGUAGUACUCCAUUUGUGGAAUCUGGACCACAGACUCCUGGUCUGAGAUCUAUUUGAAAGUCUAACCCACUUCUAGUUGCCAUAAUUUGAUUUUGGCAUUGAGUUUCUGACAUGGGUAGAAUCUAUUAACAAUUGUGCCAACUGAUGACUGCUUAGGAGACAGAAAAGGCUGACAUAGGCUUGCAGUUGCGAGUAGCCAAGGCUGACACUCAACAGAAAAACUCAGCAGGUGGUGAAAAUGUGAACUGAAGCAGAACUUACCCAAACAGGGCUUCAGGAAAAAUGGGAGGUUAUUUUUGCAGGUAGCAGUGAAAGGCAUGCAUCAGAAGUUUUUCCUCUUGAAUAGGUCAGGUUACAAAAUUUAAGUUACUCAGCCUCUCCUUAAAGAAGAGCUGCAGAAAUAUAUACUAGUUAUGAUUCACAAAGUUGUAGGCAUCAUGAAAAUGAAUGCAUUUUCUGAGAAACUGCUCACCUGAACAAUGUGCUAGCCUACCUAAAAAAGAUGAUAUUAAGUCCAUAAAUUUCCUAGUACAAACAGGAGAUCUAAAAUUCACCAACCUUUUCAAUCUGAAGUCUGUUUCAACAGACAUUUUACUACUGAACUUAGCAAAGCCCCAUCAUAUGCCAUUUAAUUUUCUCAAUUUCAGUGAUAUAUAAUCAGCCCAUAUCAGAUAGAAAGAAAUGAUCUAAAUGGGUACAUUGGCUACCAUUCCCCCUAAUGAUUUUAUGCUGCAGAGUAAGCAUGAGAAGGAGCUGGGAAUUUGCUGUUCCCUCUUCUCCCUCUAGUCUCUGCAUGGACUUUUACACUGUGAGCAUCUCACACACUGAUAAUGAAUGUUGUGUUUAAGGCAAGGUAUUGUUUCUUAGCAAAAUGCCUCAAAGACAAGCUAACUCUAGUAUCUGGUCUUAAAGAAAUAGCAACCUGUUUCAAUGCUAAGGAAACAGUGGCAGUAAGUCUUAUACUUAAUAGGAGAUGGUAUAUCAGCCUCCAACCUGGUAACUUCCUAAGAGGAUUUUUAAAAUAAUACUGACCCCAUACAAUUUUCACUUUACACAUUACUCGUAGUCUUAACCAAAUUGGCAUCUUACAAUCUCAUAUGUUACAGUGAUGCGGUCAAGAGUUGCUGAAAAAGACAUGAUUUUAGUUCUGAGGUCCCCAAAUUAUGUGCCAGUGUACCUCAGGGCACUACAGCAAAUUCACAGAGGUGUGCAGGAUAUUUUGUCUUUGAGGGAAACAAAGCAAUACACAACAUUUCUCAGAUGCUUGCAUGAAUGACUAUUUCAAGCGAAUUCACAGUUUAACAUAUUGUGUUAUUUUCCUUUUGAUGAUGUCAUUUCUUUGCAAAGCUAGGUUGUUGGUGGUUGCUGUGAUAAAAGGCAAGUAUUAGUUGAAAUGUGAUGUGGAACAGGAAAUUAGGGUAUUGGGAUUCAACCCAAUUUCUAAGUUUGAGGAACUGCAAUAAGUUUACUGCCUCACAGCUCGAAAUUCACCCUUCAUUACUCACUAUGUGAAGACACAGAAGGGACCUUUACAUAUUUUUUCUUUUGUUAGCUGGUACCAUUCUAAGCUUCAUCAGUGGAGAGUACUGUAGAGACAUUACAGAAAGAAGCAGUUUUCCUUCCUGGUUCCGGUACACUCUUUCUGCAGGCUGCUGCAAACACGCAUGGCUCCUAGAGUAUCCACACCUUCUUCAGCAACUGGCUCCUGCUGAACAUGAUGGUCAGCACCUCCCAGCCUCCAGCAGCUUCCACUGGCAUCCCUCUCGGUUGAUUUUGCAGCAGAAUGCAUCCAGUGAAAGACCUCCACAUGAAUAGCUUUCCUUAGCAUCUUAGAGGGUAGAUUUCUAGCAAGUUCUGCCAGCAUAGCACCCCAGUGACUUCUCUGCCAGCCCAGGAGCCACAGCAGGCCAUGACCUCUCCAGCAAGGUCUGGAGCAGAGAGAAGCAUGUGUUUGGGUGCUCUAUCAGACCCACGGCCCACGGGUAGGGGCUGCUCCUUAUAUCUGCUAUUCCUCUGUUAUUUAAAGUUCUCUUUACUUCCUGUUAGCUAGUCCCCAUUAUAGUGAACUACUUCUCUUUUUCUUAACAGUUUUCUUUUGUAUUUUUUAAAAAUUGUGGCAAAAUACAUAUAGUAUAAAAUUUACCAUCUUAAUAAUUUUAAAUAUACAGUUCAGGAGAAUUAAGUACAUUCACAUUGUUGUACAAUCAUCACCACUAUCCAUCUCUAGAACUUUUUUCAUCUUGCAAAACUGAAACUCUGUACCCACUGAAGACUAAUUCGCCAUUCUCUGCUCCUGUCAGCCCCUGGCAACCACCAUUCUACUUUUUGUCUCUAUAAAUUUGACUACUCCAGGUAACUUACAUUCAGUGGAAUUAAAGAGUAUUUGUCUUUUUGUGAUGGCUUAUCUCACUUAACAUCCUCAAGAUUCAUCCACAUGGUAGCAGGUCAGACUUUCCUUCCUUUCUUCCUUUUUAAGGCUGGGUGAUAUUCCAUUGUAUGUGUAUAUCACAUUUUGUUUAUACAUCCUUCUGUAGAUGGAUACCUGGAUUGCUACCACCUUUUGGGUUUUGGUUUACAAAUAUCUCUUUGAGAUGCCUUUUCAAUUCUUUUGAGUAUAUACCCAGAAGUAAAAUUGCUAAAUCAUAUGGUAAUUCUAUUUUUCAUUUUUAAAGGAACUGUCAUAUUGUUUUCCUAGCUAAUACUUGUUUAUUUUAAACUUUCCUUUAAAUUACUGUGUACUUUAUAUUCUCAUUAGACCCUGACCAAUAUAUGCAAUGCCCAACAGGUACAUACAUUCCAUUAAGAAAUGAAGAGUAACGUAAAAACAUUAUUUUUAAAUAUUUCAAUAUAUAUGUAUUAUUUUGUACAACUACAAAGUUAUCAAUACAGAAAUACUAAGUUGUUUGGAACUAAGUACUUAACAAAUGAAACUGCUAAGUAUUUCUUUUGUCCUAGAAAUGGCAUGAAAAAAAUUACUGAGACCACUAAGGGUGCAUGAGCCAAGAACAUUUGGAAGGCUCUGCUCUAGCCUACAUGUUUCCAGCUGCCAUUAGGACCUGUCUGCUUGAAUGGUUCCUUAGGCUCGCCCUAUCUAGGGGUAUCCCUGAAGGCACAGAUGGAGCCUUAAUAUUAACCGUACUUAAUAUUAUAUUUCUUUAUAAAUUUUUCUCACUUAGGCACUGGGGGCUACAAACCUUACAAUUAUCUUUGACUUAUGCUGCUCUGUCUCCCCUUAUUUCUAAUCUCACAUCAAAAUGUUUCCUGGAUUGGCCUUUUUUUCUCUCCAUUCCUGCAGCAGUCAGUAAAGCCAUCAUCUCUAGUUAGCGUUGCCUAACAGAUUUUAAGCUAGUUUCCCUUAAACAAGACAGUGGGUUGAAAAUUCAAAUGCUCACUGAGGCUAGAAAUAUGUUAAUUCAUACCUGCCACACAAGAAUUGGCUGCCUCAGUCCUUGCACCCAUGAAGGCAACACCAAUAGGACAGGCUGUGGGUGAGGCCCCAUUCCCAGGAUGCCAGCUAUUACAGUGUGGAUGUUUGUCCCUUCCAAGCCUCAUGUUGAAAUGUGAUGGAGGUGGGGCCUGAUAGGAGGUGUUUGGGUCAUGGAGGUGGAUCCUUAAUGAAUGGCUUGGUGCCCUCCCCAUGGUAACGAGUGAGUCCUUGCUCUAUGAGUUCAUGCGAGAGCUGGUUCUUUAAAAGAGCCUGGUACCUCCUCCCCUCUCUCUUGCU